GGGGGGGGGGGGGGGGGGGGGGGGGGGAGGGGGGGGGAGGGAGAGGGGGGGGGGGGGGGGGGCACGGGUGCGUAGCGCGUGGGAACCUGGCCUUAGGUUCGGAAUAACUCCCCGAAAGGCGGGCUAAUACCGGAUCAUGUCUGCGGACCAAAGAUUUAUCGCCUUCGGAUGGGCCCGCGUUGGAUUAGCUAGUUGGUAGGGUAAAAGCCUACCAAGGCGACGAUCCAUAGCUGGUCUGAGAGGAUGAUCAGCCACACUGGGACUGAGACACGGCCCAGACUCCUACGGGAGGCAGCAGUGGGGAAUAUUGGACAAUGGGCGAAAGCCUGAUCCAGCAAUGCCGCGUGAGUGAUGAAGGCCUUAGGGUUGUAAAGCUCUUUUACCCGGGAUGAUAAUGACAGUACCGGGAGAAUAAGCUCCGGCUAACUCCGUG
rnacentral:rRNA from 1 species